UACGUAGGUGGCAAGCGUUGUCCGGAUUUACUGGGCGUAAAGAGCGCGCAGGCGGUCGGCCAAGUCGAGUGUGAAAGCCCCCGGCUCAACUGGGGAGGGUCAUUCGAUACUGGUCGACUCGAAGGCAGGAGAGGGAAGCGGGAAUUCCUGGUGUAGCGGUGAAAUGCGUAGAUAUCAGGAGGAACACCGGUGGUGUAGACGGCUUUCUGGACCGUAACUGACGCUGAGACACGAAAGCGUGGGUAGCAAACAGG
rnacentral:rRNA from 1 species